rnacentral:tRNA from 1 species
AUUUAUCUAAUAUAAAAGUAUAUUUGACUUCCAAUCAAAAAGUUUGUGAUUAAACAAGAUAAAUA